rnacentral:rRNA from 1 species
AGCGAACGCUGGCGGCAGGCUUAACACAUGCAAGUCGAACGCAUCCUUCGGGGUGAGUGGCAGACGGGUGAGUAACACGUGGGAACGUACCCUUCGAUCUGGGAUAACUUCGGGAAACUGGAGCUAAUACCGGAUACGCCCUUUUGGGGAAAGGUUUACUGUCGAAGGAUCGGCCCGCGUCUGAUUCGCUAGUUGGUGGGGUAACGGCCUACCAAGGCGACGACCAGUAGCUGGUCUGAGAGGAUGAUCAGCCACACUGGGACUGAGACACGGCCCAGACUCCUACGGGAGGCAGCAGUGGGGAAUAUUGGACAAUGGGCGCAAGCCUGAUCCAGCCAUGCCGCGUGAGUGAUGAAGGCCUUAGGGUUGUAAAGCUCUUUUGUCCGGGACGAUAAUGACGGUACCGGAAGAAUAAGCCCCGGCUAACUUCGUG